CGCUUCUCGGGGCCGCCAGGCUGCCCACCUGUUGGUGCCCUGCGGUGCGGGCUUGGCGGCCCCCGCCCCCUCCCCGCCCGUCCCCGUCCCCGUCCCCGUCCCCGUCCCGGGCUCGGCCAGCGCCGUCCCCCGGGGGCGCGUGCGGGCGGUGCUCCUGGGGCAGGCCGCCUGCAGCACGGCCCGUGCGGGGAUCACCCUGAAACUUCACCCCGCGCUCCCGCCCCGCCGGGCCUGGCCUUCGAGGUCGCGCGGGGCGCCCGGGGCGGCCUCGGUUCCCGUCCGUCCCGGCUCGGCUCCCCCGGGAGGCGCGCCCGGUGCCGCCGCAGCUGCGGCCCUACAGGGCUUGCGGUCGGAGAACUCAGUUUUGAAAGCAAGUUUCUCCGCGGGUCCCCGCCGGGUCUCUUCGCGAGGCAGCCGGGAGGACCCGGUGUCGGUCGCCUCUGACUUGGCGCGCACGGCUGGAGGCGGUUUGGUUCCAGCUGUGGCUGACGUGUGCGGGAGCCGUUGAAAGUUAUUGAGCAGGCUGUUGACUGGGACCAGGGAUAAGCUUUGGGAAACUCCAUCUGGCAUUUAGGCACUGAAUGGACCGGAGAAUAGAACAGAGGAAAAUGCUAACAGAUCUUGGUGAGAGGUAAGCCUCUGAGGUUGGGAACCCGCAGAGAAAGUAGACAUGAGGGAAUGAAUCUAAAGAUUUGGGGAAUGGGUGGGGUUAGGGAGAUGGAGAGGUUCAGGAUUCUCAAGGCUGUGGGGGUGGGCACCCCGGAGAAGGGAGGUUUUGUUGGCACCGGGGGACUGAUGAAAAGAGGACUUGACCUUGGUUAGGUCUGAGAGCGACAGGUGAAUCCAGGUGAAGAGGCUUCCCGAGUGUUAGAGCAGAAGCAGUUGCAAGAGUGUAGGGAGGCAGCAGUAGGAGAAAAGACCUAACUGUUUACCUGCACGGGAGUCAUGCUGGGUGAUGGAUGAUAAAGAAGAUGGAGGAAGUCUCAUCCUGCAGAGGGUUUCCAGGUCAGACACUGCAGGGUAAGCAAUCAGAGAAUUGUAAUAUGUUUAUUAGACAAGACUAGAAGGGAGGAAGUACUGAGGGUUAUAGAAGCAUGAGAAGCAGAAAUUGGUGAAUAGUUUGUAGAGGAGACAGUGUUCAGGCUCCAGGCCCACCUUCCUGUCCUUGCAUCCACGUUUCAGCAGCAGUGUCCUUGAUGAUGCCUCAUUAAUCUUGGCCACCUUCCAGUUAACAUGAGCUCCAGUGGUUUUACCACAC
rnacentral:lncRNA from 1 species